rnacentral:rRNA from 1 species
AUUGAACGCUGGCGGCAGGCCUAACACAUGCAAGUCGAGCGAGCGGCGGACGGGUGAGUAAUGUAUGUGGCUCUGCCCGGUAGAUGGGGAUAACUACUGGACACUGUUGCUAAUACCGCAUACUAUCGGAUGAACCCAUAUGGGAUUAGCUAGUGGGAGGGGUAAAGGCUCACCUAGGCGACGAUCUCUAGCUGGUCUGAGAGGAUGAUCAGCCACACUGGAACGGAGACACGGCCCAGACUCCUACGGGAGGCAGCAGUGGGGAAUAUUGCACAAUGGGCGAAAGCCUGAUGCAGCCAGGCCGCGUGUAUGAAGAAGGCCUUAGGGUUGUAAAGUACUUUAAGCGGGGAGGCGUUACCCGCAGAAGAAGCACCGGCUAACUCCGUGCCAGCAGCCGCGGUAAUUC